rnacentral:antisense_RNA from 1 species
GGGAGCUUAGAUGUGGAAGCUCUUUGGAAACCAAGAAACACUCUGCAAAUGAAAAGGGUGGAAGAGUAAACUGUUCCUGUUUCUCCAUCUUGACAGGAAGCAGAAGUUCUCCUUAGCUGAUUUUUCUUCUUGCCUUAUACUGGGUUCUUUAACACCAGAACAAAAAUAAAUAAAUAAAAGAAUCUUCCAGAAAUUCAUGAAGAGACUUCAGGUCAGGAAAGCCUGAACUUUCUCAUCCAACACCUGUUCAAGUCGGAGGAUGCUGAUUAAUUCAUGAUGGAAAGGUAUCAAUUUCACAGCCCAGACCUCUACAUUCUUGAAAUGCUCUUCUCAUGGGAGACAUUAAAUAAGCUUUGAAUUAACUGUCAGACGUUUGCUGAAUUCAGUUCUGAGCUUUUGAACCAAAAGCAGAUCUUCAGAACAAGAAACAAGAUAAUAAAAGAGAAACAUGAAGAAACUGAAGAUGAUUGGAGAAAUAUGAAUCAAGAUGAUUAGACCUAGCAGAGGGCUGGCUGGAUGGCAUUUAUGUUGACAGUGGACUCCUACACAGAGGAUGAUCAUGGUCUAGGACAUAAUAGUCAUUCAAUCAUCAUUUCUUAAAUGAUUUUUUAAAACAAGUGAAUGAAUGACCAAUUAUAUAUCUUCCCUGAGCCAAUAAAAUAUAUUAAAAGUAUAGGCCUGGGCACAGUGGCUCAUGCCUGU